UUGACUAUAUAGAGGAAAAUUGUAUAGGGAGGAUCAUUACUUAGAAGAAAAGCAUUCAAUAUUAUUGAAUAAUCCCUAGUUGAAGUUGCUAAGAAAGAUCUUUUUGAACAAACCACGUUAACAAUACCCAUGAAUUGUAUUUUGAGACCCUAAUGAAUUGAGGGCUUUGAGACCAUGUUGAGAUAGAAGACAAAAGAUUGAAUUGAAUAAUUCUUAGUUCUGAUUAUGAAAGUUAAAAGGUGGCCUAUUUAUAGAAUAAUUCUAAGACAAGAAUAUUAUAAGCUAGAAAAUUAGAAUGUACAAAAAUAUAAAUGCCUAUUUUACGGUCAUAAUUACAACCUUGAUUAGGAACCCUAAUUAGGAAAUAUAC
rnacentral:misc_RNA from 1 species